GACGUUGGUCGACUGCGUGUCGUCAGCUCGUGUCGUGAGAUGUUCGGUUAAGUCCGCUAACGAGCGCAACCCUCGCUGUGUGUUACAAGUGUCACACGGAACUGCCGGUCAUAAACCGGAGGAAGUGGGGAUGACGUCAAGUCAGCAUGGCCUUUAUAUCCUGGGCUACACACAGCUACAAUGGGAAGGGACAAUAGGUUGCGAAGCCGCGAGGCGGAGCCAAUCCAGCAAAACUUCCCUCAGUUCAGAUUGCAGGCUGCAACCCGCCUGCAUGAAGUUGGAGUUGCUAGUAAACGCAGGUCAGCCAUACUGCGUUGAAUACGUUCCCGGGGCUU
rnacentral:rRNA from 1 species